AUUGAACGCUGGCGGCAUGCCUUACACAUGCAAGUCGAACGGUAACGGGCCUUCGGGUGCCGACGAGUGGCGAACGGGUGAGUAAUACAUCGGAACGUUCCCGAUCGUGGGGGAUAACGAGGCGAAAGCUUUGCUAAUACCGCAUACGAUCUACGGAUGAAAGCAGGGGACCGCAAGGCCUUGCGCGGACGGAGCGGCCGAUGGCAGAUUAGGUAGUUGGUGGGAUAAAAGCUUACCAAGCCGACGAUCUGUAGCUGGUCUGAGAGGAUGAUCAGCCACACUGGGACUGAGACACGGCCCAGACUCCUACGGGAGGCAGCAGUGGGGAAUUUUGGACAAUGGGCGCAAGCCUGAUCCAGCCAUGCCGCGUGCAGGAUGAAGGCUUUCGGGUUGUAAACUGCUUUUGUACGGAACGAAAAGCCUUCUUUUAAUACAGGAGGGUCAUGACGGUACCGUAAGAAUAAGCACCGGCUAACUACGUG
rnacentral:rRNA from 1 species